UAGAAUCAGCCCUGAUUCAGUGCAAUGUCUCAUGAGAAUCUCCUUUUACAACUUUGGGAGGAGGUUGAAAAGGAAGAACGGUAUGUAUCUGACCAAAGAACCACAAAAGAAUUCUGGAGUAGACCAGUGAACAGACAGGAGAAACAUCACAAGAACCUCCUAAGAAAACAGAAAGGACAGUGAGAUGUCAAGUAUGUCCUACCAAAGAAG
rnacentral:lncRNA from 1 species